UUCUUGGUCAUUUAGAGGAAGUAAAAGUCGUAACAAGGUUUCCGUAGGUGAACCUGCGGAAGGAUCAUUAAUGAAAUUAUAAUCCGGCGAGGGGAAAGGCGGAGAGUUGUAGCUGGCCUCCAGGGGCAUGUGCACGCUCUCUUCCGGACCUUUCGCCGUAUGGGCGCGGGGCGACCCGCGUCUUCAUAUACCUCUUCGUGUAGAAAGUCUUUGAAUGUUUUUACCAUCAUCGAGUCGCGACUUCUAGGAGACGCGGAUCUUUGAGAAAAAAGUUAUUACAACUUUCAGCAACGGAUCUCUUGGCUCUCGCAUCGAUGAAGAACGCAGCGAAUCGCGAUAUGUAAUGUGAAUUGCAGAUCUACAGUGAAUCAUCGAAUCUUUGAACGCACCUUGCGCUCCUCGGUGUUCCGAGGAGCAUGCCUGUUUGAGUGUCAGUAAAUUCUCAACCCCUCUCGAUUUGCUUCGAGCGGGUGCUUGGAUGUUGGGGGCUGCCGGAGACACUGGAUUCGUCCAGGACUCGGGCUCCUCUUAAAUGAAUCGGCUCGCGGUCGACUUUCGACUUUGCAUGACAAGGCCUUUGGCGUGAUAAUGAUCGCCGUUCGCCGAAGUGCAAGACAGAAUGGUCCCGUGCCUCUAAUGCGUCGACGCCUCCAGGGGCGUCUUCCUCAUUGACGUUUGACCUCAAAUCAGGUAGGACUACCCGCUGAACUUAAGCAUAUCAAUAAGCCGGAGG
rnacentral:rRNA from 1 species